rnacentral:rRNA from 1 species
UAGGGAAUCUUCGGCAAUGGGGGGAACCCUGACCGAGCAACGCCGCGUGAGUGAAGAAGGUUUUCGGAUCGUAAAGCUCUGUUGUUAAGGAAGAACGAGUGUGAGAAUGGAAAGUUCAUACUGUGACGGUACUUAACCAGAAAGGGACGGCUAACUACGUGCCAGCAGCCGCGGUAAUACGUAGGUCCCGAGCGUUGUCCGGAUUUAUUGGGCGUAAAGCGAGCGCAGGCGGUUAGAUAAGUCUGAAGUUAAAGGCGGUGGCUCAACCAUUGUAGGCUUUGGAAACUGUUUAACUUGAGUGCAGAAGGGGAGAGUGGAAUUCCAUGUGUGGCGGUGAAAUGCGUAGAUAUAUGGAGGAACACCGGUGGCGAAAGCGGCUCUCUGGUCUGUAACUGACGCUGAGGCUCGAAAGCGUGGGGAGCGAACAGG